rnacentral:rRNA from 1 species
UACGAAGGGGGCUAGCGAUGUUCGGAAUUACUGGGCGUAAAGCGCGUGUAGGCGGGCCGUUAAGUCGGGGGUGAAAGCCCAGAGCUCAACUCUGGAACUGCCUUCGAUACUGGCGGCCUGGAGCAUGAUAGAGGCGAGUGGAAUUGCGAGUGUAGAGGUGAAAUUCGUAGAUAUUCGCAGGAACGCCAGUGGCGAAGGCGACUCGCUGGAUCAUUGCUGACGAUGAGACGCGAAAGCGUGGGGAGCAAACAGG